rnacentral:rRNA from 1 species
AGUGAACGCUGGCGGUAGGCCUAACACAUGCAAGUCGAACGGCAGCACAGUAAGAGCUUGCUCUUACGGGUGGCGAGUGGCGGACGGGUGAGGAAUACAUCGGAAUCUACUUUUUCGUGGGGGAUAACGUAGGGAAACUUACGCUAAUACCGCAUACGACCUACGGGUGAAAGCAGGGGAUCUUCGGACCUUGCGCGAUUGAAUGAGCCGAUGUCGGAUUAGCUAGCUGGCGGGGUAAAGGCCCACCAAGGCGACGAUCCGUAGCUGGUCUGAGAGGAUGAUCAGCCACACUGGAACUGAGACACGGUCCAGACUCCUACGGGAGGCAGCAGUGGGGAAUAUUGGACAAAGGGCGCAAGCCUGAUCCAGCCAUACCGCGUGGGUGAAGAAGGCCUUCGGGUUGUAAAGCCCUUUUGUUGGGAAAGAAAAGCAGCAGGUUAAUACCCCGCUGUUCUGACGGUACCCAAAGAAUAAGCACCGGCUAACUUCGUG